rnacentral:misc_RNA from 1 species
CCAUAGCUCCGCGUGAAGGAUGGCAGUGAAAAUCCUUUUAUGAAGCGCAGCGCAAUAAAAGAUUACUUCACAAUAUUUUUAAUUUUUAGCGGAGUUCAUUGAACUUUGUUUGCAACGCACAGCCUGACCCGCA